AUGCGAACCGGCUUAACUUGUAAGUGCACGAGUCGAAUCCGACUCCAGCUCAUCAACGAUGUGACGGAUGAUUUUUCCGCCGAUUCCGAUUCUGCCAAUCUUUUACCGUUCAUUCAGACAAUUACUCCCGACUUUGAGACUGCGUUCGCUGGCUCGACGUCGACAACGACCAUCGUUCGUCCAUCGAUAAUACAAACAAUGCCACUCCAAUUAUUUUCAUAAUAAUUUUUUAACGAAACGCAGUGGUUACAGAUGACCUAACGCUAUUGUGACACGUGACGGCUCUGAAACAUCGGUUGUGUCAUUAUGAACACCCUGCAGUUUGAUGCGCCCCACGGUCCUAGCAUUAUUCCAGUGUUUGGUAAUUGAAUAAUUAUAAUUUUGAAUGCUAGUAACUAGAUUAAGUAUAUUAUAGUCUUAGGUUAUAUUUUGAAAUAAUAAUAAAAAAAAAUAAAUAAGU
rnacentral:lncRNA from 1 species